UACGAACUGUGCGAACGUUAUUCGGAAUCACUGGGCUUACAGGGUGCGUAGGCGGCUAUUCAGGUCAGGUGUGAAAUCCCCGGGCUCAACCCGGGAACUGCGUCCGAUACUGGCAGGCUUGAAUCCGGGAGAGGGAUGUGGAAUUCCAGGUGUAGCGGUGAAAUGCGUAGAUAUCUGGAGGAACACCGGUGGCGAAGGCGGCAUCCUGGACCGACACUGACGCUGAGGCGCGAAAGCUAGGGUAGCAAACGGG
rnacentral:rRNA from 1 species